AUCUAGAGAUGCAGUCUGGCUACAGCAGCUUUGCUGAGCUGUGGUGGGCUCCACCCAGUUCAAACUUCCUGGGCGACUUUGUUUACACUGUGAGGGGAAAACCACCUACUCAAGCCUCAGUAAUGGCAGAUGCACCUCCCCCGACCAAGUUCAAGCAUCCCAGGUUGACUUCAGAGUGCUGUGCUGGCAGUGAGAAUUUCAAGCCAGUGGAUGUUACUUAGCUUGCUGGGCUCUGUGGGGGUGGGAUCCUCUGGGCAAGACAACUCGGCUCCCUGGCUUCAGCCCCCUUUCCUGGGGAGUGAAGAGUUGUGUCUCGCUGGCGUUCCAGGUGCCACCAAGACUUGAAAAAGGAUGGAUUGGCCGGGCGCGGUGGCUCAUGCCCGUAAUCCCAACACUUUGGGAGGCUGAGGCGGGUGGAUCACGAGGUCAGGAGAUCGAGACCAUCCUGGAGAACACGAUUCCUGAUCUACCUUGCUCUGUGUCCUGAGAGGCUGGCUUGUAUGGCUCUCAUUAAGGAGUUCCCUUGCCUUCCAACUUCUGGAUGGGUUCAGCUAGCAGGAGGUCAGAAAUCAGGAGGAGAAUGUGGGUCUUUAUUUCCCCACUUUCCCCUUUGCUAGUUUGCCAUGAGUUGGCGAUGCCCGUGUUUCUCCAACUAAGGUCACAACUCCUGUCAGAUGGCCCUCCGCUACAGCUACAGCCACAAAAUUGGAUUUAAAGGAGGCACCAAUUCCAUGUGCUGAAGGGAAACCCACCCAUCCCAAGGUGGCAACACUACCCACUGCAGGAUUAAGGGUGGGAUAACAACAAGAAAACCUGGAGGAAUGGAGCAUAUGUUUCCUUGGACUUUUGUUAAAUUACCAUAUUGGAAAGAAAAUCACCUGAGAGAGCUAUCUCUUCCCAGCUUUGCUUAGGCCUGGUAGAAGAACAUUUAGGGUGUUUCUUUCAGGAGAAGCUACCAGAUACUAGAGAAGUAGGUACAGUGGGGGAUAGACUGCACAGAGAAUGCAGCCAUCUUUACCUGAGCCCCACUCAUUCCAAGAAUGAUUUCUUACCUAAUGAUCAUGCGUUCAUUCAACAGGAUAUAAUAAAUCCCUAUUCUUUGCCAAAAACUAUCUAACUUAAGGCAACAUAUUAGGGGAAAUUCAAAAGUAGCAUGAGAGAAAUGAGCAUCUACCUUGAGAAAAUUCCGGACAUCUACAAGAAAUUAUGAGAUUGGAAAGGCUAAGUUGAAGGAUUUGUGUAGCAACCAAUGACAGAGUUCAAGAGAAAAGAAAGUACAAGUAAAUUGGUGUUGACAGGGACAGCUUCCUUGUGAAUUCAGGUGGUGUGGGUAUGGGUAGCAGAAAUCAUCACAUGGUAUACAAUGAAAUGAUUACUGUGUGUAGCUUUGUUAAGAGAAAUUAUUUUGUUUCAAUGUAAUUUUAAACAUUCUUAAUAAAAAUAGAAUUCUGGUUCCUUUAAGAAAGGUAUAGCUAUAUAAUAGGUUAUUAAAAACCGCAAAGUCUCUAGUGGGAAGGGCAAUAACCUCUUCGAAGGAAAAUAAAACAUUGGCUUUAAAAAGGACAUUGGGGAGGGAUUGGAUAAAAGUGAAUGAAUUGGAAUUUUAUACAGUUGUGGAUUGUUUAGUAACCUUUUAUUGAUUGGAGCAAAAGCAAAGAAUCAUGUAGAAAGAAAUGUAGUAGGUGACCCUGCUUGGUUUUUUUCUUUUCUUUUUUUUUGAUUUUUGAUAAAGUGUACUAAAGAGUAAAUUGAAAGAGUAAGAGGACUUGAUGCCUUCUCACUCAGAGAAUCAGGAAAUUAGGUAGCUAUUUCAAAUGUAUCAAGCACUUACUAUGUGUCAAACACUGUGCCGAGUGCCUUGUAUACACUAUUUCAUUCAAAGUCCCUAGUAGUCCUGUAAGGAAAGACUUCCUAUUGGACCUCUACAGUUAGACCCAAGGUAAUUCCAUUCAACUAGUGCCAGCCUCAGAUAUGUAGGCACAGUAUCUGGGGAUACUCAUUCUCAGUGGGGCUGGCAUUGCAAAUGAGACUUAAGAGAAGAAUGGCACAUUUGCAAUAUAUGUUUAGGCUGGGAACAGUGAGAUGAGAGGCCAAAAAGAUGGCUUACAGUAGAGAGGCUUAAGUGCCAAGUGUGUGGGUUUCAGUUAUUUAUUUUCUUUUUUAUUUUCUGGGAUUAAAUAAUGGAGUAUACAUUUAGUUGGUGGUCAAAAAGCACAGUUAGCAUAUUAGGACUCUUGUAAUAAUUAGUUUUCCUCAGGAAAAAGGGGAAAGGGUUAUUUUCUCAUAUUUGAUUCUGUACAUUAGGCAAAAUAGUGGGAAGUGGAGGAGGAGGUUAUGAAGCUCUUGAAGGUCUUGCUGAAAACAUUUUAAAAUGGUUUUACCAACAUUCAUUUUUUCCAUUCAUUUAUUCUCUUACUUGACAAAUAUUAGCUGAGCACCUAUAAUGUGCUAGGCUUUAUAUUAGUUGCUGGGUUUAUGACAAAGUUUGAGAUACAGUUCCUGACCUAAAGUAUUUCAGAGAUGAAUUACAAUACAGCAAGUAUUUUGAUGAGAUGAGCAAAAGAAGGGGUGGGAGACUGAACAGAGGCUCAGUCCAGUCUCAGGGUUUAGUGGCAUCUCAACUUUACAACUAAGAAUCCUAUCAGUGAGAAAAAUAGAAGCUCAAUUUGAUUUUUUGUCAUGCCCUACUUCCUUUCUGAGCACUCCGUCUCUCCAGGAUAUAUGAUUUGAAAGUCUAUUAUUUCAAGAACAAGGGCAUUUGUCAGCAUUUAUGUGCCUCAGGGUCAGUCAGUAGUAGCAGCAGAGGGAAGGCCUUUAAGAGGGCUAAGUGCUACAUGUGCAAAGAUAGGGUUAAAAGAAUUCUGUUCAGAUAUCUCGUCUUCAGAGAUCAAUGCCCAAGAAUAGCCAGAAAGAAUAUUAAGUCUUAGAAGUAACUUCCUAUGAAUGACAGAUGUGGUGGCAGAUUGCAUCCCACUGGGAAAACCAACAUCAGCUACUCAGAAGAGGGAGCUUUUAAGGUUUGAGAUAUCGUUUCUGCACAUUGCAUAGGGCAGAAAACUGCCUUCUCUGAAUGGUAUGUCUCAUGCUAACAAUCGUAGCAAGUCCUAAUUCAAACAUUUUAGGCAAGGAAAGGAAGCAAAUUAACAUGUAUUGAUUGCCUACUGUGCUGUUUUCACAUGUAAACUCACAAUAAUCCUGGGAGAUAGUAAUCAAAAGUCUCUUUUUAUAGAUAAGAACAUCAGACUCAGAGAAAUUAAAUAUCUUAGUUGGGGUCGUGCAACUAUAAGAUGGCAAAGAUUUGAAUUCAGCUCCAAAUUCCAACAGACAGCAAUAAAGUUAUAUUCAAAGGGAGAUGUGUUUGGAGGGUGGACACACUUACGUGUUGAAAAUGUUUGAUUUCACUAUUCUGUUUUCCUUGCCUCCAAAGUAGUUAUGGUGCCCUGGGUAAUAGCUUGUGGGUGCUUAGGGUUAAUCACCAUAAAUUCCCUUUACAAAGAGCUGUCUUGAUGGAUUUGCCACUCUUGUCAAACUCUUGUGGGCACAAGCUAAUCAGGUCAUGAACACAGUAGUCAAGACCAGAGCCAAACAGAAACUUGUCAAAAAUCUUAACAUGACUGAAGCACAUUCACAGUGGAAACAUUUGAGGAAUAUUCACAACUGUUGAAGCUCCAGUUCAGUGUAGUUCCCAGCACUCUUUAUUUUCACUGCUACGCCUACAUUUUCAAUGUGUUUUGAAACUAUUUUAAAUAGGCCAUGUUACUGGAGUGGAAAAGAUUUUAAGGAAAAGGCUAUGCAUAAGAGUGACUUGCUGACAGCCCAUUAUGAGGCUUCUGCUGAAAGUCUACCCUGAAUUGACAGUAGAGAUAAAAAUCUAGAGUAACCUGGCCAGACUGAAACAUUCCCUUAAUGGCCCUUGAAACGAGUUUUGGGGAAAAACAAAAGUCCAAACUGUCAUACAUAGAAAGGUUGGUUGGGUCGUUUUUGUCUUUUUUUAAGUAAGAAGAAGGGACAGUGAAAAUGAGGUUUCAAGAUUGUUUGCCUCUGUUUCCACAAUUCUCUUUUCAGAUGGAUUAUUUAUUUUCCCUUCUGUAAAGAGAGACUACUUCUUGAUGCCUCAGUGUAUAUACACAGCCAUAUUUAUGACUUUUUCAUAUGGUGACUGAUAAUUACCCACUCUCAGUCCAUGUUCAGUUUUUUGAGUGGUAGUGUCAAGAAUUAGUCACAGACACAAUGGCUGCUGAUUCAGAUUGUGUGUCUUCUCUAUGUUAUAAAUUAUAAUCCCAUUUAUCCUGUACAUCACUUGACACCAGAGCAAGGCAAGAUAUUUGGGAGGACCCAAGUGAGUCUUUCAGAAUAAAAGAUUUGCCUUAAUAAUAGAAAU
rnacentral:lncRNA from 10 species